ensembl:lncRNA
AUGAGUUUUAACAACCACUUAAUUGCACCACGUAGUAAAAGUGACCUAAAUCACUUAAAAAACACAGUCAAAUAUACUUGCGAUACUUGUGGAUUACCACUGAUCACAAGAUGCUCAGUCAGAAAUGUUGUCAUAAACCACAAGUUUUCCUCAAACUCGGUGGCAGGAUCGAAUUCACUCGAACGCACCCAACACAUCUCAAACGUCGCUUGAGCUGCAUGCCAGUGAUGUGAACUGAAGCAAGUACAAGAGCUGUGCCUUUCGACUUCAAAAGCUAAAGCUGCACAGGCCAUUGCCUUGUUGCAGGCGCUCCCAAAAAUGUUCCCUUCCCCAACCGCCCCUCCAAGAAAACUCA